rnacentral:rRNA from 1 species
GUAGGUGGCAAGCGUUGUCCGGAAUUAUUGGGCGUAAAGCGCGCGCAGGGCGGUCCUUUAAGUCUGAUGUGAAAGCCCACGGCUCAACCGUGGAGGGUCAUUGGAAACUGGGGGACUUGAGUACAGAAGGGGAAAGCGGAAUUCCAAGUGUAGCGGUGAAAUGCGUAGAGAUUUGGAGGAACACCAGUGGCGAAGGCGGCUUUCUGGUCUGUAACUGACGCUGAGGCGCGAAAGCGUGGGGAGCAAACAGGAUUAGAUACCCUGGUAGUCCACGCCGUAAACGAUGAGUGCUAAGUGUUAGGGGGUUUCCGCCCCUUAGUGCUGCAGCUAACGCAUUAAGCACUCCGCCUGGGGAGUACGGCCGCAAAGGCUG